CCUGUUUGUGUCUUAAGAAAAUAUAGAAGCUUUGUCAGAUGCCCACAGAAGUCCAGAAUUGUAAUAAGACGGCACUGCCCACUGUCAGAGGGCAUCCUGAGCCAUCUCUGAGGCUCUGCCUCUGCAUCUCGAGGCUUUCAGCUGCCAUCCUUACAUCCACGGAGUAGAAUGGAUGAUUUUAACCUUGAGUAAUUACCAGAAAAGAAACCCUUGCAACCAAAGAUUGCCAUCAAGAGGCCAGGACCGUUCAUACUGACUGCAUAAAAAACAAUAGAAAGGCCCCAAAACGAUAAUUAAAUGUA